rnacentral:tRNA from 1 species
GCCUGGGUGGCUCAGUGGUUGGGCACCUGCCUUCAACUCAGGUCAUGAUCCUGGGAUCCGGGAUCGAUUCCUGCUUUGGGCU